rnacentral:rRNA from 1 species
UACGGAGGGUGCAAGCGUUGCUCGGAAUUACUGGGCGUAAAGGGGAGGUAGGUGGUCUCGUUUGUCUAAGGUGAAAUCCCCGGGCUUAACCCGGGACUGUCCUUAGAAACGGCGAGACUAGAGUUCUAGAGAGGGUCGCGGAAUUCCCGGUGUAGCGGUGAAAUGCGUAGAGAUCGGGAGGAAUACCAGCAGCGAAGGCGGCGACCUGGAUAGGUACUGACACUAAACUCCGAAAGCGUGGGGAGCAAAC